GGUAAAUUACAGAUACUGGUGUUUAUUAUUAAUAAAGGAGAAAGGAUAUUUAUUUUAUAUAUUUCAAUAAACAUUGUUUAUCUAUCUUGAUGUAUACGAAUAAUACAAAUUAUCAAUACCACGAAGUAGAUAACCCUGAUCGCAGCACAAAUUGAUAAAAACCCCUCCCCACCACCAACACAGAUGACUGAGUAGUACCGAGUAUACAGUGUCUAGCACGUCAUAAUAUGCGGUUGUCUACCUGCCGCCAUAUUAUUAUGUAUUAUGCUUCGUAUCUCUAAACUAAAGUUUUUGGACCGUUUAUCAGACUUAUUCCGUCGUUGUUGUUGUCCUUGUCUGUAGAACUUUAUCUCGUACCAAAAAAAAUCCUCCAAACAGUAUACAGUGAACGUUGUAAUUUUUUUUUCGUUAAUUGUACGUCACGAUACACUCGAGUCGUGUGAACUGUGAAAUUGAAAAAAGCUCAAUGACCUAGUUCAUCAACCUUGUCGACGACGCGUUAUCUGUUUUCGUGUGUGUUUCUGUAUCGUGCACCCCGCCCACCCUUUCCCGUGUAUUGGACAACAAUAUCUGGACGCUGACUCAAUCUCAACGAUCUGCAGUAUUUACGUUUGCUGUUGGAGGCAUUCGUUAUUCGUUUACUGGUUCUUCUCGGUCGAUCACUAUGGACUGCACCGAACGAGGUAAGACGUUUUGUGUCGUGCGACAUGAAUAUUUAUGACUAAAUAGUGGAAAGUCGUGAUACUAAAUCAUGACCUAUGUUAAUGUCUGAAGUUAUAACGAAAGUACGAAGGUAUUUUCACAUUGUCAACAAUGUCUAUGUUAAAAAGGAAAUGGAGGGAUCUAUUGAAUCCACAAUUUAUUGUAUGGUUGACAUAUAUUCCAACAUACCUGGUCAUUAAUCGCUAAUAUUCCGUGUAUUCCUCGACAAGCUAGAUUAUCAGUUAAAUGGAUUUCGAUGUUCCUCAUCAAAUUCGAUUAAUCUGAUUACUAAUCAGAUUGCUUCUCGAUGUAUCGGAUCAUCAAUUUCUUCAAUGAACAUAUAUUUUAUCGAUAAUAGAAUAUCUUAUAAUCAAUUAUACCAAUUACCAAAUAGGUAAUAUUCAUAGUAAUUAAUUUACACAGUCAGAUAUACCUAGACAAAGAGUUAUUAAUAAGUACAAGUAGUAACUUAUAUAAUGCUUAACUGAGGUCAGGUAUAUUUAAAUCUAAUUUGCAAUACAAUUAUAAUAUUUUGUCAAAAAGGUAAGUAAUUACCUAUUAGUAACUAUCUAAAUUUUGUAAGCACCUGUUUCCAAAUUUCUACCAUAGGUCUACGUACAAGGCUAUAAUACUUUAUCGAACACAAUUUAUUAUUUCUCUACAUAUUUUAAUGGUAACAAUAUUAAUAAGUUCAUUUUGGAUUUUUCCAAAUUUUUCAAAAUUAGUUCACUUUUGUGUUAGCCUUGAUAAAAAUGAACAAAUUCCAAGUUAUACUUUAUUGUUCUCUUCCUCAUUCCUAAUAAAGGAGAAUUGUUCCUUGAUUGAAAAUAAAAAUCAAACAUUUCAAAUUUUGUAAAUUUUUUUUUAUUAAAUUGUAUACUAAUAUUAUCAACUAAAACUUGAUAAAACUUAGCCAGUAGAUGUCUUUCUUAGGGUUAAAACUAAUUACUUAUUAAUAAAUAAUACAUGUUUACAGAAGUUAAGAAAUAAAGUUUAUGAUUUACCUAAUAUAUAUAACUAUCUAAUAAAUACUAAUAAAUAAUACCUAGUGGAUUUAUAUUUUUUCUAUUUAUCUGUAAAAUACCUAUAUAAUAUUGGUAAAUAGAGAAUUAAAAAUUUAAUCUAAAUUUAAUAAUUUGAUUAUAAUAUUGAUAUAUCUAUUUAAAAAACUUAUUUUUGAGUUAUUAAUAUCUUAAUUUUUUUAUUAGGCUAUUACACUCAGUAUAGUUAAUUUAAUUUAAUUAAUUUUAAUAUGCAUAUAUAAUGUAGGUAUAUUAUUUAUAAUGUUAAAUUUUAACCCAGAAAUCUCAUUUCUUAGGUUUGGAAACUCAUUUAGAAGUGACCAACCUACUAUUUGAUAUAUUAACAACAAUAAUUGUUGUUAAUUUCAAUUAUUGUAAUUCUAUUAAUAUUUUUUUGUUAUAUUUGAUACUUGUUUUCAUUUAUAUUCAUAAGUGUGCACAGACCUCUGAGUCAAGUAUAGCUAAAUUUUAUCUGAUCAUCCACUCUCCAGUAGUUAUACCACAAAAAAAUUAUAAAAAUUUCCCUUACAAACUUCAACAAUAUAACCUACUUUUGGUGACUGGCAAAUUUUGAUAUUUAUCCAAUAUUAAUUAGGUAUAAUUCAUACAAUUCAUCAUCAUCAAUAAUGAUUUUAGGAAGUAUUACUAAACAAAACAUAAUAGAAUAGUAAUUAUUCAUGUAAACAUUAAUUUAUAAUUAUAGAUAGAUAGUUCAUAAAUUUUUAUAUUCAUAAACAAUUAAUGUGAUACAUAUAACUAUGCUGUUUCCUGUCUUAUGUAAACAAAUUACUGUAUAUAUUAGGUAUACUUUAUAUUUUAUAAUAUUAUUCUACUAUUUCUUGCAAUUAAAUUUUUAAAUUUGUCAAUAACCAGUGGUAGAUCCAGAGGGGGGGCAGUAAUUUUUUAAUAAUUUUAUUUCAUAAAGAUUAAUGUAAAAUAUAAAAUAUUUUCUUCUUUACUUUAAAUUUUUACCGUUAUAAUAAGUUAUAAUUUUUAUAAUUAUAUGAUACAGGUAGUUGAUUUUCUAUUUUUAAUAUAAUCUCUUGAGUAAAUAUACAAACGCUUAAAAAUUUUAAAUACUAUACCUUACUUUUUGUCAUAACUUCCUAAGGUACACAGUACCUACUCGCAUAUAAAAAAAAGGUUCAGAUAGGGUUAUAAUCUAGGCCUUUAUCUUUUAUUAAAAGAAUUUUAAACCACAUAUAAAGUGUUUUACAUAGGCAGUUUUCACAAAAUAAAAAAAAAUCUGGGAUUUGAAUGAGUAAUAAUUUUUUGUUUAACAUAAAUACACAUAAUUUCAAGUAUUUUAACUGUAGGUAAUAAUGCUUUAGAAGUUACUAUCAUUUAAUAUUUAUGAUUAGUCUACUUGUCUGAAAAUAAAUACUAUAGUGAAUUUUAUUUUUGUCGAUACAAAUUUAAUUUUGUAAACCAGCAAAUUUCCAAAGAAAAAUUAUAAAAGUUUCUCUUUAAUAAAAUACCAGCAAAAUUAUUAUGGUUUUAUAAAAUAUGGAUGAAAUUUUAAUAAGUUUAUUGAAUCUGUUCCUUCCAAAAACUGAUGUAAGCCCAUAGCAUUAGAUAUUAUAGUUCAGACAACUUUAUUCUAAUUUUGUAUUGUACUUACACAAGUCUUAGAAGUUAAAUACUAUGCCUAAAAUAGAAAUAAAUUAAAUAUUUAUUUACCUUUAUUUUAUUGAAGUAGAUAUAUUUGAAUUGGUAAAUUAAGGUAUUUUCUCAAAUAAUUAUUUUUUGUUUAUUUAUUUGUCUUAUUAUACACAUAAAAUAUAAAUUGUAUUAUUUGACUAGAAAUUAGAAAAAAAAAAAAACUAAUUGUUGAUGUUUGUCACUAAAUACUGAGCUAAAUACUCAACACAAGAAUCUACAUAACUAAAAUAUAGUCUGGAUACCACAACUAAAUUUACUAUUGAACUUCUUUAACGUUAAAACUGAUAAUAAUUUUAAUUAUAUAAUUACUAGUGUUAAAUGUAUUUUAUUAUUAAUCAUUAUUGUUUUUUUCAUUGAAUUUAUCAUAGUAUUUAUAUAAGAAAAUAUUAAUAAUAUUAAUCAUACUAUAUGAGUAGGAGUUUGACAAUGUUCAUGUGUACAUUUAACUGGUGUAGUUAAAAUUAGUUGGUGGGUGUUAAUAAAUAUUUGGAAAGGGGCCCAUCAGAGAUUUUUUAGUUACCUAGUAUUUAUUUUCACCUAGGUACAAUAUAUUUUGUAUAGGAGUGGUGGAAUUUAUUGAAGUUUGUGUUGUUUAGCUACAGACUACCAGUCAUUAUUAUUCUGUAAUUAAUUGUCAUUUCCAUAAUUCAACCUUGCAGUGAUAAUAUAAUGUAGAUAAUACUGAUCCAAUAUUGUAAUUUUAUUGGAACAUUAUAGCUAUGGUGAAGUAAUAAUUAGAUUACACAAUAAUUUUUUUUUUUUUUUUUUUCAAGAACACAGUGUCUAGGCAGAAAAAUGUUAUGCUCAUGUGUAGAGUGUUGACUAUUACAGAUGCAGAGUUCAAGCUAAAGUUCAAUAAUAAUCAAUUAUGAAAAGUAAAUUGACAAGCAUGUUAGUUCAGUUACUGUGUUUAAUUUUAAAGUUUCAUUACCAAUUUGUUUUUAAAAAAUUUUUCUAUCAAUUGUAUUAGGUAU
rnacentral:lncRNA from 1 species